GCGGCGCUGCGGCCAUCUUGGCGCUGCCCGUGAGGGGGCUGUGGCGUGAGUGCUGCUGCUCUGCCCUGCCCUGCCCUGUUGGGAGCUCUCUCCGGGGUUAAAUUCUUCCCGCCGCACGGGCGCUAGUGGGUUUGAGAGGUAAAACGCCUUCCAAGGCCGGCCCUUCAGCAGCUCUCCCCCUCUUCCAGUGGGUCACCUUUCUAUAAUUCACCGUGUUGCUUCUCCAUCGCCGUCCUGUGCCCCAUCUCUGCUGGAUUCCCGGAGCGACAUCAUGCCGCAUUCUUUGGGCCCCCACAUUUGUGUUCUCCUAGAAGAACAGUUCUCCUUCCAAAAAAAACGAACGAGCUAGGUUAUUACAAUUGACCCUCGAUAAAGUUGUAUUGCAGUGUAUCUGUGUGUCCAUUCAGCACCCAUAUCCUCGCACCCGGCGCUGCAGAAAGAACGCAAUUGGAUUUUUUCUGUUUUGUAUCAUGGCAUUCGCUAUUAUUGUCUCUCUUUCUUCCUGUUCACCUCACAAAAAUGAUUACGUCCUCUCUGAAGGACUCAGGCAUUUAAGCUGAGAGCUGCAUCAACUCCUACAGAGCAAUGAAGCUGCUGCCAACCUCCCGGUCAGAGUCAAGGCUCACACCAAGGCUCUCCCAAAAAUUCUCACUGCCAUAGCUGAAGGCAUUGCCGUUCCCGGCUGUCUCUCCCACCUCUUCAUCAGGCAUGACUGCCCCUAAAGCAGACUUGAUAAAAAAACCCCACUAUUUCCAACCCUUACAAUUCACAGUUUUCAUGCACUAGUUUCUGAAGGUGACGCUGAGAUUCUUUUUCAGACUGUGAGCUGUGCCAGUUGGGGCUGGUCCCUUAUUACAUUCUCCUGUGCCAGGUGUGAGGAGGAAUAAAUAGGUGAUGGCACCUCAAACCACUGCAUCAAGCUCUUCUAGGGCUCAAACCUGCAGGUUUUGAUUGCACGAUAGAAAGGAUGCCAAGAAGAUCACAUUUUUAUCACUCCAGGGAUUAUAGUCCAUGCCCAUUACUUUUCCAAGGGAUUUUUUUUGUUGGUGUUUCCAUGAAAAGAUUAACUUUUCCAUUGAAUAAUCACUAUUUAUUGAUCAUUUACAGAAUCUUUGGUAGUUAAAAAAAAACAAACAAAACAUAACAACUUUCUGGUUUUGAUAUGCUAUCAAAAUAUUUUCCAGAACAGAUUGGAUGUAUUUUACAUCAGUAAGGAGUGCUUUUUGCAAAAAACAAACCUUGACAGUUAGGAAAAUGAGAUUAAAAAGGCUACAUUCCUAAGUUACUAAUGAAAUAAAAGAAAUUUAUAUCUAUCUGAAUUGAAUCAAAAGACAGUGAAAAUUCCUGGGAGAAUAUAGUAUCUGAAGAGCACUGAUGCUCUGUGCAUAUGAUGCCAUAUGUGCAUACUGCUUUUCUAAGGUCUUUGUUGCACUGGCUGACAAAAUGCUAAAUACUACAGUAAAAAAAAAAAAAAAGGAUUUUUUUAAGGUAGAUCUGAGAUAAAUCUUUUAAAAGUGAAUCUGAUUAGUAUGUUAGAAAAUACAUCAAAGAUUCCCAGUUAUUUAGCAGUAUAGAGUGAAGGUGCUUAUCUUCUGGUUUUAUUGUUAACAACAUACUUUCACUUGCACAUAAUCUAGAUUUCUUAAUCAUCGAAAAACCUCAUUCCAUUUGCACCAAUAAUAUAGCCCUUUGCAUCAUGUGAUUGUUAUUGUAGAUAAUUUAUGUUUGAUCAAGUAAUAGUUUGUGACUUUUCAGAUGAAAAGUUUUAUUAUUAUGUUGAUGAUGAAAUCUUUUCUAAAAUUCUUUUCAGUUUUGAUUCAUAGACCCUAAUUUAUAAGAAGCAUCAAUUACAUGUCUGAGAAAGACGAACAAAACUCUGUAAUUCCUCAUCUUAUUUUCUUUUAACACAUUUUUUUUUCUUUGAGUAAGCCUAAUAUGGGGUUUUUUUCCUGUCUUUUCAAAAGGAAGUGUUAUACCCAAGUAUUUGUCUCCAGGCAUCAGGAGAUUAUUGAAACACUUUUGUUACUAUUUCUUUCAUGACCCUUCCUAGUCAUAAAAUGUUAAAAUAGGUUAAUAAGAAAUCAAAACCAUUUGUUACCAUUGCAAUUAAGGUAACAGAUACUGCCAAAGCACAAAUAUUAGCUGGGCAGCAUCAGAACUGAAUGACUGAUUAUGUCCUUACAGGGGCAGCAGCAGUGAGCAGGACACAUAAUAAUUAUGGAGAUGGUGAUUUCUCAUCAUUCUGUUUCCACAAAUUGAUCAUUUUGAAAAUGAUAGAAGUGCAAAAUUGUCCUUUACAAGCUCACAGGACAUGGAAAUAGUGCUCAUACAUAUUUCAUAUAACUGGUGAAGGUCAUCAUCAGACUCAUAAUUCAUUAUGCAUUUUAGCUGAAUAAGAGUGCUCCCUAAAACUCAAUAGUCAAACAGACUGUUCUGAUCUGACCUUCCUUUGCAUCUCACUUUAUUGUUACUGUCCCCCCAGAUGCCCAUGAAGGCAGCCAAACAGAGGAAUUAUGCGUGAUGUAAAAAACUUCGCUUGACAGCAACACAGUAAACAUACUGCAUCUGCUCAAGCCAUCAAUUUAACUGGACAUUUUGCCUCCAGCAGGGACCAAGAGCAGGCAUUUGGAAAACAGUGCAAUCAAUGAAAACUAUUGGGUUUUUGUCCUGGCUCCUGGCACUUACUGGAGCAAGUAAUUAUUCAAUCUUCUCCUUUCUCCAUCACAUUCCCUAAUUUAAUCUCAUAUAAGAUGAAUGUGUCUCCAUGUUGCUGACCCUUCUUGUUUCUCUUUAUAAUCUUUCAAACAAUUCUGUGUUCAUUUCUGGGAUUGAAGUAGCAGAACUGUCAGUAUUACUCAGCAUAUGGGUAUAGUAUAUACAAAAGUCAUAAGGAUGUUUCCUGUUUUGUUCUCACUCCCAAGAAUAAAAAUUCCCAACAUCUUAAUUGACUUUUUGAAAAGUUCUAAGCACUAUGCACAAUGGUUUCAAAAACUAUUUCCAAAGCGGUAGUAAUUAAUUGUUCUGUUAUAGAUAAUUAGGAUUACUCUCCUGCCAGUACACUGCUUUGCAUUUUUCAGUACCACCAGGUAUUUUACUGUGUAAUUUAAAAUAGGUCACACAAACUUUAUCACCUAUUUUCCCAUGUCUUCAAUAACAGCUUUGAACAGCACUGGAGGUCCAAAUAUAAAUGGUACUAAGAGCGCUCUACAGAGCAAUUAGUAACCUCUCUUGGUCAUGACUAUCAAUUGACUAUCAGCUUUACCUCCUACCUUUCAGUUGUUCAUUGAUUCUGAAUGGAAUCUGAAUAUCUUUUCACCCCAUGAGGAAUUAGUUUGGUAAAAGUACUUAAUGUUUACAGUAAACAUGUGGUAAACAUAUUUGUUGUUACAGGUCUCUCUGGAGACAGGUGUGUAACACCAUUAGGGCCAGGCCUGAAAAAUUUAGGGGAAAGUUACAAGGUCAUUUGCUAGAUAAUUUAUAUUUAUAUAAAUUUAUAUUGUUUAUAUUGUUUUCCAGCAUAUAUUAACUAGACAUUCUCACUGUACUAGCAUAUGUUGAUAACCCAUGCUGUUAUUGUUUUGUAUAAUAAUGUUCUUUUUAAUUUUUGUUGUAUUAUAUGUGCUAAUGCGUAGGCAGGCAAAUGCAUCACAUGUGCAUACACAGAGUGUUCUGUUGAGAUCCUCCCCAGCUAAAAACCGAUAGAACUAACACCAUGAUUUGCAGAUUUCACUGUUAGAUGAGAUCAUCUUAACAGCCUUCUUACAUAAUCCAUGUCUUACUUUUGGCUUACAACACAUUUCUGUUUGACAUGUUGAUUUAGUAGCGACAUCACUUCCUGCUGCAUGUGCCUGUGUCCCAUCCCCUUGCUUUAGCACCAGUAACUUGCACCUGUUUAAAGUGCCAGAUUCUCCUUACUCUCUCUGAAGCUGGAUGGAAACUGUGGUACUGUGAUUCAAACAGGGGUGCGUGGAUGUGUCUUGUCUUAGCCCAGCCCCAUCAGGUGCCAUCGACCUGCCCUGAGUCACUUCUCACCAUGGGUGUAUUGCACCCAUCGUGCAGGUGUGCUGUAGGGUUAUGACACACCGUGACUCAACAUGAACUCAUAGAGCCACAUCAGCCCAGGUCUUCAUGUGAUUUAAAGAUUUCAAGUGGUAGAGGAUCUACAAUGUUACUUAUUCCUGUGGACUUCACAACACCACAGAAAAUGUAAGAUAUCUUUUUCUAGAACACAACGGGGUCCUUGGGUAUCACGAGAAAUUAAAAUUCAAGCAAAUGCUGUUGCAGAAGGCUGAGGGGGAUAAGAUUCAGAGAGUUUGGAUAUUUGGGGCAGUGCGAAGAUUAGCUGUAUUUUUUGAGACAAGCCAAUCAAUGAGGAAAACCACACUCCAUAUCCAAAGCAUCUUCAGAGUUUUUGGUCCAAUCAUUGUCUUCCUUGGCCACUCUCUCUGUCUUAAGUCAGCAAGGGAGAAAAUAAUUUAACCAAAAUGAAAAUCAUAAUGAUGCUCUGGAAAACUUUCCAUGAAUUUGCGCAUAGAGACACAUUUAAAAAUAUUAAUUAUACUGGGUCUUAGCUUUACUUUUCCUAUAAAGACCAAAAAAGACCAAACCGAAAGAGAACAACAGAAAAAAAAAACCCCAACAGCUUCUCUUUUUUACUCUCUCAGAGAACUGAAAAAGUAACAUAGCAAAACAUAAAGAUUUAUUUUAAUGUAAAAGCAAAUAUGCCAGACCAGCCUCAGUACAAGAGAGACUACAAAUACAAACACAGUGACUGCUGGCAGUGUUGGUUCUUGAAUGAGUGCUUCAACUGAGGUUGAUGGAAUGUUUCAUUUAAGCUCACUGGUGUCUGUCCAGGAAAGAGGACUUAUUUCAGGAAUGGCCUCAGUAUGUCACAGCCUUCUUAUUAUUCACUAGGUGCCUUGAACAAUUUCAUGCUGCUGCUUCCUGAAUUUAGCAUGUAAACCUUUACUAAGUGGAAUAGAAAAGAGGAGUAUUUAAAAUCCUGGAGUAAAUCACUGAAAUUAUUUGCUCUACCCCUAAGCCCAGAGUAAACCUCUGCAUGAAAUGACAGAAAGAUGCUGUUAUCAGUACAAGCUAAAAGACAAGGCCCACAACAUUAGUUAUAGAGCACACCAUGUGUCUGAGAGAAGCUACUUGAAAACUGUAAGAUUGAACCCAAAGCCUUUCUCAACAGGCACAAUCAAAAUUAGUCGGGGGGUGAUGCUUUUCUGCACAAAAGGAUGUGAAGUAAAAGAGGAUGUGCAUGAGAGAUGUUUUGAGAGAGCAGAGCAUCAAACAGUGUUUGGAGACACUUUACAAAGAGAAAAAAAUGUAUGAAUAACUGAUUGUAUGUAAUGUGUUUUAGAUUGUUCUUUGUUAUAGGAGCUGAAUAUUUGAGAGCAACAUGAAGACUAAAUACUCUCACAUAUUCCUGGUGUCAAAAAUUCUUGUGUGGCAAGGAAACAGCAGUACAUCUCCUGAUCUCCAGACAGCAUGGGAACAGCUGAAUCAUCCAGUCCUUCUGUCCUCUUGUUUGUCACAUACAGAAACACCUUACUGCUUCCUGCAUAUGAAGAAGUGUAUUUUUUAAGAUGGAUCCCACUUCCUUUAGGUCUACUGAAAGAAGCAAAAAAGCUGUCUUGCACACAGGCAAGUCUGUUCUCUGUGAACAGUUACAGAAACUUCCCAAUGCACUUCCUCUGAAUCCAAGUCUUCCUUGAGACUGUCAUUAGCAUUUGCCAGCUGAGUCAAGUUCCAAUGGUAAUAGCUUUUCUUCAGGAAUUAUUUAUACACUGACAGGAAAACUACAUCCUUCUUCUCUAACAUCUUGAGACUCUCAAUGAAAAAAGAAGAAGUUUCAGUUCUGUGUAUAUUUUAUAUAUCUUACUGUCAAAUUCAAAAAAUGGGGUUUGUGAAUGGUUUCUCUGA